GGGAACAGCCCUGGUGUUGAUCAUUCUUUUGUAGAAGAUGAUGAAGAUACUCAACAAAAAUCAGGAAGCAUUAGCCCAAGCAAUGAUAAGCAUUCUAUUGCAGAAGAUAAGGAAGAUUUCCGACCUACCGACCCAGGACAUAGCCCUGAUGCUGGACAUUCUUUAGCAGAAGAUGAUGAAGAUACUGAACAAAAAUCAGGAAGCAUUAGCCAAAGCAAUUACAAGCAUUCUACUGCAGAAACUAAGGAAGAUUUCCGACCUACCGACCCAGGACACAGCCCUGGUGCUGGACAUUCUAUAGCAGAAGAUGAUGAAGAUACUGAACAAAAAUCAGUAAGCAUUAGCGGAAACAACGAUAAGCAUUCUAUUGCAGAAGCUAAGGAAGAUUUCCGACCUACCCACCCAGGACACAGCCCCGGUGCUGGACAUUCUUUAGCAGAAGAUGAUAAAGAUACUGAACAAAAAUCCGGAAGCAUUAGCCCAAGCAAAGAUAAGCAUUCUAUUGCAGAAGGUAAGGAAGAUUUCCGACCUACCGACCCAGGACACAGCCCUGGUGUUGGACAUUCUAUAGCAGAAGAUGAUGAAUAUGCUGAACAAAAAUCAUUAAGCAUUAGCCCAAGCAAUGAUAAGCAUUCGACUGCAGAAGGUAAGGAAGAUUUCCGACCUACCAACCCAGGACACAGCCCGGGAGCUGGUCAUGCUUUCCCAAGCAAAAUUUCAGAACCACAUGCCUAGACAUGUAAAUGCCAUCACAGGUACAUUGAUUUAGGUAUAUUUCCUCAAUCUCCCAAAUUGUAAUAAUUGUGUCAGAUGGAAGGAUCUGUUAUUGUUAUGGAUUUGCAAUAUUCACGUAGGACUUGCAUGAUUCCUAGGUCUAAAGACAGAGAUUGGGAUGUAACUAUAAAAAAAUAAUUAUCCCGAAGCAAUCUGGUUUGAUGUUUGUAACUAGUUAUUUAAUCAUGUCCAUGUCACUAUUUCAUGUACUAUACAUUACUCUUUGCAAUGUCUUCUUUCAUCCAUCUUAGUAAUAAAUUGUUUCUGAUAUUUCAAAAAAAAAAAAAAAAAGACAGCGACAGCGCCCGUAUGGCGCAUUUAGCCGACCUUUUAAUCUUAAUUACUUGCAGAGCUUAAAUAUUCUACUUCAUUCAACUGAAAUCUCUCUCUUCCUCCAGUGGUCCUGCAUAUGUUCAUUACUUUUAGGUCAAGAUAUAUUAAGGAGGACCAUCAAAUAAAGCUUUAACUUCCAUUUCGGGCAAGAACAGUCAUGAUAAACAAAAGAUUUACGUAUAAUUUAAUAUACAAUUACGGUCAUAUCUCAUUUAUUACAAUUAUAAAUAUAAUGGAUAAAAUAAUUAUAGUCACAUUCAUGGCAGUCAUGAAUUUUUUUAACAUUUUCAUAAUUUUUCACAAAAUGAAGUAAAAGAAUAAUUUGAUUAUAAUAAUAUUUAUUUAUGAUAUUUAAAAUAAUGUAAGAUAUUUUAAUCUUACAUUUAUAGGUUAAAAUAAUAUUUUCAUAUCUUUUAAUUAUAACUUAGAAUCAAUACUUAUUUAAAAUAUAUAUUUUCAAUAUAUCUAUGAAUUUUAUAGAUAUAAAUGUUAUGAAUACAUAUGAUGGACAAAAUAUCUUAUUUUGAAAUAAAUGAAGGACAAAAUAUUAUUUAUGCUGUUAGCUCAUAAAUUAAUUUAAUUAAAAAAUAAUAUUAUAUAAAUUUUUAUAAUAUAUAUGAUCAUCGGGAGGACGAUUAAAAUUUAAUUGUUUAAACAUGGAUACAUAUACGUUCUCAUUAAAUCAAAUUCAAAGCUAAUAUUUUAAUAACUAAUUAAGCAAAAUAAGUAAUAGUUAGUGACCUAAUUUUUGUCAACUAUUAAAAAAUAUAAUUAAUAAUAACAUUAGUAACACAAAAAUUAUAUAAUAUAAAAUUAAUUCUUUCAAAUAAUGGCAGACAUGUAAAACUCAUAAAAAAUGAACCCACUAAUUAACCACACAGAAAGAAAAGGUUUGAUUAAAAGCCCAAUUAUAAUAAAAAAGAAGUUAGCUCAAAAAGAGGGCCCAACUAUAUGUAUUCUUGUAGGCUUUUUUAUUUGGUUCAACUCUAUUGGCUUUGUGGGUGACACUGCUCAUUGAAUCUACCAUUUUGAUUAGAUGCCACACGUGACACUGUCCUUUCAAAAUCCCGACUUGAUUCUUUUCUUCACUGUUUCUGCUGUCUUUAUCACACCUUUUUUCCCAUCCCACAACAAAGCCACCAUGGCUCGACCCAACCAACCCGUCCUGCUUCUCAAAUCCUCACGGUCGCCCUCAAGCCGAUUUUUUACUCUAAGCUUUUAUCUAUGUCUUUCAAGUCUCAAGUGUGGAGAAGAUGGCAUGACACUCAACUUCAGGCCACUGGCCACGGUAGCUCUAAGAGAGCUCUACUUUUUUUUUUUGGGUUUUCUAGUUUGAUGUUUGAUUUGAAAAGAAAAGCACAAAUAAUGAUUUUAGCGUUCGUUAUGAUCGUAAUUUUCUAUUAUAUGAUUAUUUGUGAACAUAAUAUACUAUACGUAUGAAUGACAAUUCAAAUCUCUAUUGCGAUAAAUAAUAGUGACGAAAGAUGGUGCUAUCAUUAAAUAGCGACAACCAUAUUGUGUGCAGAUAUUAUUUAAAUUUAUAUAAUCUUAUUAAUUAAUGAGAUAAAUAAAAUAAUAUUAUAUUAUUAACAAGUAAAUUUUAAAAAAAUAUUAAUUUAUAUAAAUUUAUCUUAAAAUUAAUAUUUAUUUAUUAAUGAUAUAAUAUUACCUAAUUGAUAAGAGUGCACCAAAUAUAAUCACAUAAACAAAUAUAGGUUAAGAUACUCCAAAUAAAAAUAUGAAAUCUAGUACUUGAGAAUACAAUAGUAUUAUUUUUCUGUCUCAUAAUAUUUGUUUUUAAUUGACUUUUUAAAUAAAAUAAGAUCUAUUUUGGUCAUUAUUUUUAAUAAAAUCAUAAAAUUAAAAAUUAAAAAUAAAAUUUAUAAAGCUUGAAUUUCAAAAAUUUCAAAACAUGAACUUAGAAAAUGUAACCCAGGAAUAAGAAAUGGAUAAGAAAUGAUUCCACUAGGAAGAGCCAACUAAGCCCCUAUUUUUAUUAUUCUAAGUAGAUAGAGGAAUCUUGAAUAUAUAUAAAAAUGGAUCAAAGAGAGUGGCCUAAGGCGACCUAGUGCACAUGAAUAUAGUAAAUAUAAUAUAUAUAUAUAUAUAUAUAUAUAUAUCAAGGGGAGGGAUUAGUAAAUUUUUCAUUUUUGUUGACAAAACAGAUUACAGCAAAUUGGUAAGGGCUCUGUUUUUUUGUCGUUAACCAAGAUGUCCAGUCCAAACCCUAAAUUAACUUUUACCUUUAAGCGCAUGCGUAGCAACUGGUUUAGGCAGGAACCAAAAACAAAAAGCACUGGUUUCGAAAAGUAUGUUUAUUUUAAUACAUGGAAGGAAGCCGCAAAGGGAAGAUUCCCAUGGAAUCUUGAGUUUUAACCGUUCAUUUGCAAAGAUUCCUCUAACUUUGAGCAAAGAAAUAAGUAAUAUAUGUUGUCGUCCUUAAUCCCUUUUGGCCUAAUUUGGGACAUCUGACAAGUUGUAUGUCAGAAGACAAAUGGAAUCCCGAGGCCCUGGCCCUGCCUGUAAGGAGAUCAACACAAAACCUUCAAUAAACAACCAAAAACUUCUCCAUGUGCGACCCUUUGUACAUUCAAGAUUACCAUCAAUAAAGAAUCACCGAUUAAAUUUGAAUACAAAUUCACUUACAUCGAGAUGAAUAAAUUUAUCGGUUGAGGAAAAUUUUGGUAAAAUAAUAUUUGUAAUUAAUGGUUUAGAAUGGUAUAUAUAUGUGUGUGUCUUCUAAGUUGUGAAAGUUGACAUGUUGUCUCACCUCUUGGAAAGCCCACUGAGAAGGGCCGCGGACAAACAAGAAACAAAUUGCUGCCCAAACCAUUUUUAAUUUUAUUUUUCAUUUACAUACAUAUACUUGUGUUAGGUUCGUGAUCUAGGUUUUGACAAUGGAAUCUUCCUUCGUACUUGGAACUUCAUAACCACAUGCGGCACACUUCGCCCCUUCUUAAUUUUUGGCUUUGUGUGUCUGUGUUUGUUUGUUUGUAUUUUUUUUUUUUUCAUCUACCUAACUUUUUAUGCUUUAUAAAUAGCGAGGAUAUAAGAUAGGAUCCAAUCAUAGCUUCCUUAUUUCGUCUUAGUCAGGGAUUUAAAUAAUGAUCGAAGUCACGUUUUCGAUCGUGUUUUUAAAUAUAACGAAGAUAAUUGCAGUCAUUACAGUCAUCACGGUCGUGAAUUUUUUUUUUACAUAAUUUAUUAUAAAAUAUAAUAAUUAUAAUUAUAAUUAUAAUUAUAAAAAUUAUUAUUCAAUGAUUUUAAAAAUAAUUUAUAACACUCUAUAUUUUUUAUUUUCUAAAAAAAUUAUUUACAAUUUUAUUUAGAUUAUAAAAAAGUAUUCAUAUUUGGUUUAUCCAUAAAAUUUUUCUUGGUCAAGUUCAUAUUCAAUAUUAAUUCUAGACAAAUCAAAUAUUAAUAAAACAUAAUAUGUUAAAUACCAAUCAUUUAAUUUAAUAAAAUUACAAACUUAAAAAUAUAAUAAAUUUAAAUUCCAUCAACUACAAUUAUUGAUAUAUAUUUCAAAUUUAUCACAUGGUAGAAUGACGAGAAGGAUCAGAUUCUUUAUCUUUACUUUGAGAGCCAAGUUAACUCCAUCUCCAUCCUUGAGAUCUUUGUUCUUGAUACAUUUGAGGUGGAUGAUAUAUUUGAGGAUGAUACAUUUGUGGUGGAGGGUAUAUUUGUGGUAACUAAUACAUUUGAGGUGGAUGAUAUAUUUGAGGAGGUGAUACAUUUGAGGUGGAUAAUAACCAUAUGGAGGUGGAUAACCAUGAGGAGGUUGAAAAUUAUGUUGUUCUGGUGGAUAGUAAUGUCUUUGAGUACUAGCAAAUGAUUCACUAUACUCAAAGUUACUAGAAUUUGAUCUCUCACCUGAAGAUGAAAAACCUCUAGAAAUUUCAUAGUGGUGCUUCUUCGCUUUUCUUUUUGAUCGAGUCGUACAUGCAUUUUGACCCUCACUAGAUUCAGCAAAUGGAUUUCCUCCGUAUUCUGCCAUAUUAAUGAAAAGUCCACUAGUAACAGCAAGCCCAAAUUCUCCUCUAAAUGGGCUGUAAGGUAGAUUUGCAUCCAUAUUAUCACAAAAAUUCACACCAUCACCAUCACCAUCAUCAUCUGGACUUAAACCACCACCAUCAUCACUCUGACUUGGUGUUGGACUUGAACUUGAAUGAGACACAUUCCUUUCUAGAGAUUGACGUGAUUGUUCAACAAUCAUUUCAUUAUCAGAAUUAUCUACAGGCAAUCAAUAAGAGUUUUGACCAUCUAAUAAAGGAUUUUCUUUCUCUUGCAGCCAUUCUGUUAGUGGAUCAUCAUCUUCAAAAAUAUUGUCAAGGCUAAUAGGAUUAAAAUUAUUAUUUAUUUCAUCAAUGCUCAUUCUUUUUUUAUGUCUCAUCCUCAACCUCAUGUUAUAAUAGGUAUAUACAAGUUUCUGGAGUCUUUCAAACUUCAAUCUGUUUCUUGUUUUGGUGUGAAUAUAGCUAAAUGUGCUCCAAUUACGUUCACAAUUGGAUGCAGAUGUUGUUUGACUAUGCACUUAGAUUUCUAGUUUUUGUAAUUCAGGAACACAAGUGCCAUAUAUCAUCCACCACUCAGCUGUAUAAAAUUAUUUAAAUUAAAUUUCAAUGGGCUAUACAAUUAAAUAAUAUAAAUAAAUUAUAAUUAUUUAACUUACUAUUUACUUGGAUUCAUUUGCUUUCAAGCUUUUUGUGCUUGUGGACUACCAAAUGUUUCAUGCUUGUCUCGAAAUAAUAACAACUACAUCGAUUGAAAAUACAAUAAUAAAUGAAUAAAUAAAAAAUAAUUUAAUUUUUAAUACAUAAAAUAAAUGUUAAAGUUAUACAAUAGUAUUAAAUACGAACCUGAUUAAUCAUUCUGAUUUGAGUAUCUAUCGAAGGUUUUGAUCUUUCAAUAAUUGUUUUUAUACCUUCUAAUGUUUUUUUAAAUACAUUUGCAGAAUGUUUCACUCCAAAUUGAAAUUGUGGAUUUAGAUAGUAACCUAAACAUAAUUUAUAACAAUAUUAUAUUAAAGUAAUAAAAAAUAAAUAUAUAAGCAAUUUAAGUAUAAAAAAUAAACAUAUUUUUUAAAUACCAUCUAUAUUCUUGGUUUACUUACUAGCUGAAUGCAAGUCAGAGUGCAUGAAACUCCAUCUAUUAUUAAUAAUUUUUUCAUAUUCAGCAGAAUAACGAUAAGUUUGUUGAAUUGCUUCUUUAGCUUUAUCUAUAGCCUCGUAAAUAAAGCCCAUUGUUGGUUUUUCAUCACCAUCCACAAGGCGCAACACUUUUAUCAAAUGCUCAUAAACUUCUAUUAUAUCACCUGUUUUUUUUUUUUUUAAUUUUUCCCAAAAUGAUUUUUUUGACUUUAUAAACAGGUCCUGAUUUUUGUUGUCUCCAUUUUGAAUCUUUAAAUUCCUAUAUAUUCAUCAAUAAAUUUUUAGAGUAAUAUAUUUUAAAUUAAUAUUUUAAAAUAAUAAUAUCAUAAAAAGAUGUUAGAUUUAAAUAGUUGUACUAAUUAUUAAGUACUAACCUUUGAAUUGAACAUCUCUUUCAAACUUUGCUUUUGCCUCAUUAUUUUUUCUAAUUUUAUGAAAUGAGUGGCAAAUUGGGUAAGAGCAGGACGAAGUAUUUGCUUUCCUUGUGUAUAUUUCUUCAUCAAAUUAACAAUUCAAAUGUGAUUGUAUAGAAAACAAGUCACUUUCUUUGCAUCAUCCAAAACCUUUGCCACAUUUUUUUUCUCCCAAUAUCUUCAAGGCACAAGUCCAAACAAUGAGCUGAACAUGUUGUCCAAUACAAAUAUUUUCUUUUCUCCAUUAGUCUUUUUUUUUGCGACCUUAAGUGCUACCUCGUUAUCAGUGACUAUUUGACCAAUGUAUUUUUCUUCAAUUUCUUUCACAACUUCAUCUAAUAAUCUGUAGUAAAAGUUUGUAUCUCUAAUAUGAACACUUAAAACAUUUACAGAUUUUCAAAAAAUAGUCUCUUUACUACAGUAAACAAGGAAAUUAAUGAUAUGCAUUUGAUUCAAACUAUUGGUCCAACCAUCACACAUCAAAGUGACACCCAAUUCAUUCCAAUAAGCUUUUAAUCCAUUAACACAUUCAUUAACUUAUUGAUACUUAGAUUCUAAAUACACAUCUGAGACCUCAUAAGGUGUUGGAAGUCUUACAUGUUGGCCAACUUUUUCUGUCAUAAAAAUCAAAUUAUGCAACUAUGAGGAAUUUGCUAAUUGAAAAGAAAGUCGAUCAUAUAUAAAAAAUUUUGAUACUGAUUCACCCAUUUUUCUUCUUAAUGUCUUUAGAAAUGAAUCACUUACUUUUAGUUGUCUUGAACUUUUACUUUUAACCAAUUCAGGAGCAGCUCUCUUUAAUGAAAAUUCAGACUCAUUUGGAGUUGAUUUUUUUGUUUUUUCUUCAAAAUAUUCAGCAACUGAACCAUGAAAGCUUCGUAGUUCUUCAUAUAUGUUACUCCAGCCACUAGUUCUUUGUCUGAAUUCUUGUCUUCUGUGUCACUCAUUUUGUAAUUGGAUACUAUCUCGCACGGCUUGUCUAGUAGCAAUGUCUUUAUCAAUAAAUCUUUCAUAAUCAUCUUCCCCUCUUAACUGAGAUAAAAAUUUAUUUUUUCUCCUUUUGUUGUCAGUUUUUUUUUAUUUGCUUUCUUGAAAGAGUUUCAUCAUACUUUCUCUUAUUAUACCUAUUAAUAAUAUAAUUAAAAAAAAAGAGAAAAUUAGUAGCACAUGCUUAUGUAAUUUUAUAAUUUUUAUUAAGAAAUUAACAAUAAUAUUUUCAAAGAAAUUAAAAAAACAUAACAUACCAGUAACGUUGGGGCAUGAUGCAACAUUGUCAGUUUUAUGAGCAAUGUAUUCUUUGAAAUGUGUUAUUCCUCCUUUUACAACUUUAUCACAAAGUUUACAUGAAACAUUUUCUCUUGUAUUUGGCAUAGGUAUUCUAAAAUGCCAACCUAUAUCAUCACUCAGCGUGUCUUCUACUCCUUUACUCGGGAACUCUUCACGUGGUGCCAUACUUACUAUUUUGUAUAAAAACAAAAAAACUUAUAUUUAAAAAUAUUAAUAUUAUUUAUUACAUCAUUAAAAAUUGAUUUUUCGUUAAAUUUUUUAAUUUUUAGUUUUUAAUCUUAAGAAUAUUAUUAAAUAACUUAAUCUUUUUGAUGCACUAAUUGAUAUUAAUUUUUUUAUCAUAAAUAACUUAAUCUUUUUGAUGCACUAAUUGAUAUUAAUUUUUUUAUCAUAAAUAACUUCAAAUAAUUAUAUAUGUCGUAACGUCUAGAUCCGGGGAUCUAUCGCUAGACAUUGACUUUCAGGGAGUCGCCACCAAUCUUUUUUAUCUAGGUGUAAUUGGCCACCUAAAGAAUCUGUCCUUUCAGGGAACACCUAAGUUUAAGGGUCCCUAGAAGAAUAGGUUCAGGUCUGCUAACCAGAACAGGGUUCGGGAGUUCGGUUACGUGUGAGGAAGGUUAUAGCACCUUCACAGCGCCCAUCAAAAGAUGGUACCAGCUUGAAUUUGUGUUAUCCAAAAGCCUUAAAAUUUUACCAAGUAAUUAAUUAUUGGAAACUUUUCUCAAUUGACUCUAAUACUUUUAGCAGAAAAUUGAGAAAAUUCCCUCACCUCAAGAGUAUGCAAGAAAAACUACUAUUUCACUUACAGAGGCUCCGUCGUCGGAUUAUUUAAAGAAAAAAACAAAAUCAAAAUUAAGAUAGAAAGGAAGGAAAGAAUGAUUUUUUUUUAGGGAAAAUUGAUACUUUCAACUUUUCCCCAAAAAUAUUUUUUGGAAAUUUCGAUUUUCAAGGAAAAUUGAUACUUUCAACUUUUCCUCAAAAACCACUUUUUUGAAAAUUUAUUUCUAAGGAAAAUUGAUACUUUCAACUUUUCCCCAAAAAUAUUUUUUUUGAAAUUUUGAUUUUCAAGGAAAAUUGAUACUUUCAACUUUUCCCCAAAAAUACUUUUUUUUUGGAAAUUUAUUUUCUUUUAAGAAAAAUUGAUACUUUCAACUUUUCCCUAAAAAUAUUUUUUUUUGGAAAUUUAUUUCUAAGGAAAAUUGAUACUUUCAAUUUCUCCCUAAAAAUAUUUUUUGAAAAUUUAUUCUUAAGGAAAAUUGAUACUUUCAACUUUUCCCUAAAAAUAUUUUUUUUUUGAAAUUUUUUUCUGAGGAAAAUUGAUACUUUCAACUUUUCCCCAAAAAUAUUUUUUGGAAAUUUAUUUCUAAGGAAAAUUGAUACUUUCAACUUUUCCCUAAAAAUAUUUUAUUUUGGAAAUUUAUUUUUCUUUUAAGGAAAAUUGAUACUUUCAACUUUUCCCCAAAAAUAUUUUUUGGAAAUUUAUUUCUAAGAAAAAUUGAUACUUUCAACUUUUCCCUAAAAAUAUAUUUUUUUAGAUUUUUUUUAUUUUUAUUUAAAGAAAAUAAAAUAAUAAAAAAUAAAUAAAAAGAAUAUUACAUAAACCUAAUCUAAUAAAUAAAAAAUAAAAAAUAAAAUAAACAAAUAAACAAAGAAAUAAAAAAAAAUUCAAAAAAAAAAAAACCUGGAGCGGCUCGGAUCGCGGCUCGGCUCAAGGAAGGGAAAACGGCUCGGGGGAGCGGCUUGGCGGCUUGGCUCGGCUCGGAGUGGGCUAACACGCGCGGGUCAAAAAGCGGGUCGACGCCCGGGUCGGGUCGGGUUCGACAAAACGCGCGGAUCCUCUGGGUUACUUAAGGCCAAAACGACGUCGUUUUGAGAGGGUAUAAAAGGCACCUUCCUCCGUUUUUCGACAGAACGCUCCUCCCCCUCUCUCUCUUCUUCCUUUUUCUCUCCCUUCUCUCUAGAAACUGAAGAACACCGGUGCCGGAUUCUGGAAAUUUUCGCCGAAAUCUGGAAAUUUCACCGGAAGUUGGCCGGAAUAUCGCCGGUUUCUGGGAUUCUUCGCCGGAAACUGGACUGGUCGCCGGAAACUUCAAUGUUCGCCGAAAUUGUUGCCGGAAAAUUCAAAUUUCGUCGGAAUUUUCGUCGGAUUCUGGAAAUUUCCCAAAAAUUUCCAGAAAAAAAUUUUUGCCAAAAAUUUCUAAAAAUUUUUCCUCACUCCCAGAACACUCCUAAACUUUUCUUAGCUUCCUAUACGCCUCCUUUUCUCUCAAAUCAAUAGCUUUGCUUACUGUUUUCUGUGUCCUCAGCAUUGUUCCAGAGGGUCCCUUUUAUAGGGGUUGAUCAGGAGUUCCUGAUCAAUCCCAAUUCCUCUUUGGACGGGAAUUCAGUCUUUGAAUCCAACUGGACUCUUCUGAUUGAAUUCCCCUCCAGAGUGGGAUUCUUCAACUUUGAAUCUUACCCAUCCAGAAUUAAAAUCAAAAUAAAUAAAAAAUACUAGAUAAUCAAAAGAUAUGAUAGUAUAAAAAAAAAUAAUAUCAGAUAAUUCGGAAAAAAAAAAUCAGAUAAAAUUAACAGAUAAUAAAAAAAUAACAUAAGAUAAACCCAAAAAUAUAUUACAAAAAAAAAAGAUAAUAAUAAUAAUAAAUAUAUAACUAUAUAUAUACAAUACAUAUAAAUCUAAUCUAAAUAAAAAUAAAUACACAAAGAUAUACAUAAUAAUAAUAAUAAUGAAAUACAUAAAAUACCAAAGAAGAAAAAGAAAAAAAAAAUACAGGAUUGAAAUGGGCCUUACCCCUUUGGGCCAGGCCCAAUUGAUCUGGGCCAGGCCCAAUUGAUCUGGGCCCGGACCCAAUUGGGUGUCUACAAUAUAAUAAAUACAAUCUUCAAUAAUUACACAAAAAUAAUAAGAAUUAAUCUAAUAUCAAAAGAAUUGACAACAAUAUAAAUAUCAAAACAACAAAAAAAAUUAUUAAAUUUCAUAUACAAAAUUAUAAAUUAAUAUCUAGCACAAUCAAAAUAUAAUAUUUAAUUUUAAUUAAUUUUUGUCUAACUUAUAUAAAAAAUUCAUCAAUAAUUUUCAUCUACAAUCUCUAUGUAUAUCAUAUUAAAUUAUUAAUCUCUUAUUUUUUUAAUCUUCAAUCCCUCUAAUUAGAUUUUAUCUAAAAAAAUUUUCAAAAAUUAAAAAUUUUCAAACUUAUAUUUUAAUAAAAUUUUCAAACCUAUAUUUUUUAAUUUUUAGUUUUUAAUCUUAAUAAGAGUAAUAGAUCAUAAAAUGCUAAAUUUGUUAAGUAAUUUAAUUUUUUUGAUACACUAAUUGAUAUAAAAUUUUUUUAUCACAAACAACUUUUAAUAAUUAUAUAAUAACACAAUAUUCAAUAAUUACACAAAAAUAACAAGAAUUAAUAUAAUAUCAAAAGAAUUGACAAUAAUAUAAAUAUCAAAACAACAAAAAAAAUUAAAAUUCAUAUACAAAAUUAUAAAUUAAUAUAUAACACAAUCAAUAUAUAAUAUUUAAUUUUAAUUAUUUUUCAUCUAACUUAUACAAAAAAAUUUAUCAAAAAAUUUCAUUUAAAAUCUCUAUAUAUUAUAUUAAAUUAUUAAUCUUUUUUUUAAUUAUAAAUUUUCAAAACCACUAAUUAAAUUUUAUCUAAAAAAUUUUCAAAAAUUAAUUACAAAAUUAAAUAAAAAAAUUCAAUCUCACCCUCCAAACACCCUAACACACCCAAUCCCUUCCCACCUUUCCCCCAACGCCUCACCACACCCAAUCCUCCCACCCCAUCCAAUCUCUCCCCACGUGCCUAAUAUCUCAAAUUUGUUUAAUUCUUUUUAGCAAACGGCAGACCUUUCUAAAAACGCUACUUUCUUCUGUUCAUCUUCUUCUUCGUGUUGCCUUCUUUGGCUUUCCAAAAAUUUUUUCUUUAUUUCUUUUUUUUUCAUCUCUCAUUUUCUCUCACAUCCAUUUAUUACUAUCACUUGCUGACUUGCCUAGUAUCUACAGAUAUCUCGUUCGUCUUUCAAACUCUCACAAGCAUAACAGAUCAUUUUACAAAAAUUUUACAAAAAAAAAGGUAAUUUAACUUUCUUUUUUUACCUUAUUUGAUCUUGAAUGUUGAUUGAAAACUUGAGGCUGAUUUGAAUUUGAAUGUCGAAAAUGUUGAUUGAAUGGUUGAAAGUUGAAACUUGAAAUAAUUGAUAUGUUUUCUAGCUCGUUUUAAAAUUUAUUUUGAUGAUAAAGAUCAGAGAUUGUGAGCUUUAUUUUUUUAUUUGGCUUUUACUUUUACUUUUGCAGGUUUAUUGUUUUAUUCUGCAGACUUAAAAUUUUAUUUUUUUGUUAGAACUAUUAGAUCCGUGAAUAGAAAAACGGAUUAGCGAUAAUAAUGGUCCGUUAUUGCUGCUAUUGCCCGUUACGCCAUUAUUUUACGGUUGUUAUUCUCUAUUUUUGCUGUGAAUGAAUUUUUCAACCGUUUUUUAUCUACUAACGGUGGCGGAAGGCGGCGCUACCGCAAUUUUGCGGCCACUAUUCCGCUAUCAAACCGUUAUUUGAAUUUCUGGUCCUAGUUUAAUUCACAAGAUUAGUCCUCUAAAACUCUAAUAAAAUUCUGUGAUUUCAGCAUUAAUUUUUGCUAUGGAAAAUGCGAGAUGUAAUUGUUUGUUUUUUCUACUAAUAAUACUUGUUUUGUCCCCCAUGAACUACUUUUCUUAGCCGAGGGACAAAGCUUGGAACUGAAGAAGAAUUUAGAGAACGUGAAGGUAAUGUUGAGUCCUGAUGGGAAGAUCAACAUUAAUAUUGCAGGACUCGCCGUGAAGAAUGUAGCUAUCCCAAGCCCCAUGCACCGCGUUUUUAGGUCCUUAGAAGAAAACGCAGACAAUUUUUGACCCACAACCCCUAGACAUAGCCCUGGCGUCGGCCAUUAAUCCAUUCACCACUAACAUAUAUUGUAUUUGUUAUAGGCUUGUCACCGAUAUUGUAGGCAAUUUGGUAUUGUUUUCAGUGUCUUUUAUCAUUGCUUAUCUGCUUGUACUUGUAUCGCUACUUCUAACAAAAAGUUUGCAAUUAAUUAAUUUUGGCCUCCCUCUAUAUGAAGAAAGUUAGCACUGAAUUAAGCAGAAUAAUGAGUUGUUAGCUCUGUAGUGUUGAAGCCAUCUCUAAAACUGAGUGGUUCGAGUUUAAAUCAUAACUUUUGCAGAUUGAAUGAAAUGAUAGGGUGUAAUAAGCAACUUAGUUAAGGAUGUGAAAUCUUUGACAAAAAAAGCUAUAAGCGUUCCUAUUUUCAACCAAAUUAAUUAAGCACCACUCUCCAAUCAUCUCAACCUGGUAAAAUUAAUCUAAACAUAUAAAAGUAAUUUAUUUCAAAAAGAAAAGUUAAUUAUGAAAAUAAAAUGACCCUUCAACUUAUUGUAGAACUGAGAACGCGCGGAAGGAAAAAAAGUUGGUGAUGCAGUUGCAUGAACCAUGCAUGAUUAUUUCCCUGACAGCUUUGUAAGCUAAUUAAGCGCUGUAAAAGUCUUCGAUCUAUCUCCAUGACCGUGUAUAAAGGGAUAUUGGACAAGUACUGCUGGCCAAAUCCGGUUUUAUAAUUGCUCCCUUGUACUCAGUUCACAUUCAACUUAAAUUGCUUAUGGCAUUUUCCUUGAUUGAUGCUUGGGAGUUGGGACUACGCUUGACUUUAAGAGUUUGGGGCUUCACAUGCUUUUAAAGCUCUCUUUCUUUAUUUUCAGCCUCUCAAAAAACUCUUACAAUGUCUAGGGUUUUACAAUAUCAUAAAGAAAGAGAAAGGAAGAGAGUUUCAACAAGAAUGGCAAGUAGAGUUAGUUCUUUUCCAUUUUAGUCAAGAUGAAGGGUAUGAUGGAAAGAAAUUAAAGCUAAAUGUGAAGAAAUAAUUUUAUUUUAUUUAACUAGAUAAAAAUUCACUGCUAUAUUAUUUACUUUAACAAAUUAAUGCACUUUACACAACAUGAUUAAUCAACACCCAGUUUUUUGUCUAUGAAAAAGAUGUUAUAUUGCAUACUAAGUCGGCAAACUGGCAAUUACCCUUUAUAAGCUAGGGAGAUGCCGUCCUGUUAAGUUUUUCUAUAUGGUAGAAUACUUUUUUUUUUUCCUUUGACUGCAAGGAAAUUUUUGCUCUUCGUAGCUAAUGAUCACGUUGGGGUCGAGCCAUACCUUUUUAAAAUUUUGAAUUACAGCAAAAAGAUCUAUUAGACUUAGGUCUCCGGUUGUAAAGUUGAUUAGUCCCGCAGACUUGAACAAUAUAAAGGUCUAAACUGAAAGAACCUGCCAAAUAAACAGUGGUGUUGUUUAGUGGAAGUGUUAGUAGGCAGGCGCAUGAGAGGAAUAGGAAUAAGGUUAAGUACAAAUCUCUCUCCCAUUUUUAUUAUCAUGGCAAGUGCAACCUUUGAGCCCUUUGAAUGGUACGACGUAACAUUAUUAUUAUAAUAGUAAAAAUUUGCAGCAGUUACAAGUGGAAAUAGUUCUCAUAUUGAGAGCAAAUUAGUAUAAAUAUCAUGUGUUCCUUGUAUUUUAUUUUUUAUUUGCAUUUGCGAAUUAAUGUUCCUAAAAAUUAAAGCAAAGAAUGGAAAAUAAAUAAAACAGUAGAUUGGGUUUUGGUCCUCACUUGCACUAAGAAAGAGUGGUUGAUAAAUGGUAAGUUAGUAAUUUGAAGGUUAAAGCCUAAAGGCAAUAAUAUAUCACCAUAAUUUGACCCUCACUUGGUUUAAUAUUAAUGUUAACGACAAAGAUACACCCUUUAAUUUAAUCUUCAAAAGGAAUUGCUUUAAUUGAAGGGUUUUGGUAUGUUAUGUGAAAUGGUGCUGAUCGAUAGAUUUUUGUAUUUAGGUUUUCUCGCACGAAAGACAAUGCCUUGUGGUCUUAUGCCAUCAGCAUAUACAUAUUCCUGUUUAACCAACUUUGAUUCUCCUUUUGUGAAAACUAGUUUUCAAGCCAUUGUCCCAAAAAAUCUUUCAGUUUAUUCAAGUGGAAUCAUGGUGUCCCAACCAUAUAAUAAUGUCUAGGGAUUAUAUAUAUAUAUAUAUAUAUAUAUCAAGUAAUCUCCCCUAACUCAACUUUAAUUCAAAUCUCUCUAAAUUAUAGACAAUCAAUAAAAUUCAAUCCCAACUUUAAAAAUCAUUUAAUUUGUUUGAAGAGAGUUGAGGUCCAAGAUUCAAAUAGUUUGUACUCUCCCAUAUACUUUUUCUUGUACGUAAAGAAUUAAUAAUAAUUAUGAUAAUUAUAAAAGUAAGAAUUUAGAUCUAUUGAUAUAUAUAAUAAUUUAUUUAAAUUUAAGAAACGGCAACUGAUAGAUUUAAAAUUUAAAUUUUAAUAUAUGUAUUUUUUUUUUAUUUCCAAAAGUGGAGGGCCAAGACUUGUAAAUUUUAUAUUCACCCCCAAAAUCACGAGAAAGGGGGUGAGAUGCAUUUUAACUUGGGCUUUGGAGUCCAAGGGCACAAUUCUAGUAGACAUUUGAGGUUUGGGAGCAGAGGAUCAUAUUGGUUUAAGCUGGUUUCCGUAUGUUUUCCAUUUUUUCUAACUGGGGUUCUGUUGGGCCUAACAGAGUUUACAUAUUUCAAAAAUACUCGAUGUCCAAUCUAAGCCACAUGCCCAUGGAAGAAAAUAGUUGAAAAAGACAUUACUCCUUAAGAAAGUUUUAACUGUACGAAGUAGUCAUGUAAUUGUGAUUCUUUUGCUCGUUGUCGAUCAGCCGCAUGACAUGCACGUCUGCAUAAAGGUUUGAACGUUAUUUUCACGACUUAAGUGGAAAAGUGGGACCCAACAAAUUAUCCAUAGAAAUAUAAAAUUUCAUAAACUGAGUAAAUAAUUUAUCAUCUAUUUUCUAAUUCGUUUAACUUUAUAGUUAAAAUUUUAAACUCUUUCAUAAAAUUUUAAUUGCAUUUAUGUGAUUGUUUUAUUGAAAAAAUUCAUAAAAAUCAAUCCAAAUAUAAAAAAUAAAAAUUACUUGUGUUUAAAAUAAAAAAUAAAAUUCAUCAUAAGGAAAACAAUUUUGAAACAUUUUUUUUAAAAAAAAGCAGAGCUGUAUAUUCGAUGAGAAGAGCAGAAUUGUACAUAUUUAUAUAUGUUUAGUAAAAAUGAAUAACAAAAUAGAAGGAAAAGGAAAUUUUUUAGAAAAGAUUGUUAUUUUUUUAUGUUUAAUGUGAAAAAUGAAAAAUAAAAAGAGAAAAAGAUUGAAUAUCAUUGUAAAAAAAAAUUCUUAAAUAAAAGAAUAUUUUCUUUGCACAAAAAAAAAAAAGAAUGUUUUCUUCUCAAUUUAAAAAAAAAAGAUUUGAAAGAAAAAAUAAUGCAACUUUAUUCAAUUUUCUUGCCUCCUAUUUCCCUCCAACCAAACAAAAAUUAUAAAUUAAAAGAAUUAUUUUCCCUUCGCUCUCUUUUUUUCCCCCUCUUACAAAACAUAAUGUAAGCCUUUUCCAUUCUCUUUUCUUCGUACAAACAUAAUGUAAACCCUUUUCUUCCUCAUCUUUCCCUCCUACCAAACAUAAUGUAAGCAGUUGAUGACCAAACAAAAGAGCAAUUCCGAAGCUACAAACAUAUCUAAUAUAUAUAUAUAUAUAUAUAUAUAUAUAUGCACAAAGAAAUUUAUCACAUAGGCGUUUAUGUGGACAGCUCUUUUAAAUGAUAUAUAGGAUAGUUUUUUAAAAGAAUAAGAUAAUUUUUUUUAAUUAUAAAUUAGAUAAUUUUAAAUUUAUUCAAAUAUUCAAAUUAUUCAAAUUAUAAUUGAAAAUCAAAUCAAUUUAGAAAUAUGUAUUUUAAAAUUAAAAAUAUAAAUAUGGAUUUUAUUUUUUUAAUAAAUAAUUUUCGUUGUUUACCAAAUAACCUUAUUUAAUAAUUUAUUGAAUUAUCAAAAAUUUUCAAACUUGUGUAAAAAUUACAAAGAUCAAGUUUACCCAAAUAUUUCAACAAUCUUUUUUAUUUUGAUUUAAGAAAUUAUCUUUUUAAAAAAUUUACAUAAAACAUUAAAAAUUCAAACAAUUUUAUGUAAGAUUUUGAAAAUUUAAAAAAUUUUCAUCUUAAAUCUUUAAAUAAUAAGAUUAUGAAAAUGUUUAUAUACAUUUGAACUUUAAUUAUCAAAUUUAUAUUUCAAACAAAUGCAAAAAAUUUAAUAUUAUCUUUAUCACUUAUUAUAUCCAUUUUUAAUUUUAAAAAAUUAAUUUAAAAAUUAUCUAUUUAAUCCUAAUUGUCACCAAAAAAUUUUUCUACAAAUUUAAAACUACAAAUGUAACGUGUUAUAAAUUGAUUUUUUUAGUUUUUUGGUAAUUUUUUAAGGUAUAUUUUAUUACUAUUACAAUUUGUUUUUUUUUUUUUGUGUUUAUAAAUUUUUUAAGAUAUAUUUUAUUGUUAUUACAGUUUCAUUCUUAUGAAAAAAAUAAUAUCUUUUAAUUUAUUUUUUUCACAUAUUUUCUAACAUUCUUCAUAUUUUGUAUAAUAAUAUAGUCAAGAUUACUAAGUGAAAAUGUGUUAAUACUUCUUUUAUUAUUUAAUUUAUCAUUCAAUAAUAUAUAUUUUUAUUUUUUGAAAAAAUACAUAAUUUAUGUUUAUUUGAUAUAAUUUUACAUGUGUAUAAGUAUUAUUGUAAACAAAAAUAUCCAAAGAAAAGACAUAAUUUUUUUUGCUAUUUUUAAAAUGUUUAUUUUUCAAUGACAAGUCAAUAUAUUUAAAUUUUAUAUAUGUUAUGAGUUUUAAAGUUUUGAAUAUAAUUAAAAAAAUUAAUUUGUAUAUAUAUAUUCAUAUUAAAUAACUAAAAUUAUUUCGUGUAUUGCAUGAGUUAUAAUUUAGUUUUUUUAUAAAAAAUAAGGUAAUAUGAAAGAAAGAGAUGUAGAUACUGAUAUUUAAAUUUUAAAUUUGUUAAAUAUCAUUUUUAAAAAUAAAUUUAUAAAUCAAUUAAAUUACAUUCAAAUUCAAAUUAUUAGAUUUUUUAAGGCUCAAAUUAUUAAAUCUUUAAUAUAACUUAAUUUACGUCAGGGCAGGCGAGUCGCUGGUUUUAACAAAUACUUCUAUUAAAAGGAGUACAAUAUGUGUACACAUCUUCUGUCAACAAUAAAAAAAAUUGCAUAAAGAAAAAUUAACUUUGCAACUUGCUUUUUACUUUAUAGCUUCUAAAAACUUAGCUAGAGAUCAGUUCCCUUUUCAAAGCUACAAACAAAGAUAAUGCAAAAAGAGAGAGAAUGGAGUAGGGUUUCCAGUCGGAAAGCAGAUCAUCUUGUCUGAACGAAAAUGUACACAAUGUUUUAUAAACCUUAGUGUACACCAUUACUUCUCCACACAACUCUCUUAAGCAUUUAAAUAUAAAUAACUCUAAGAAAUUAUAUAUAUAUAUAUAAAAUAACUGGACCAUUAUGUUUAAUAUAUAUUUUAUAUUUAAGGUUGUAAAUUUAAUAUUUUAUCAACAAAUUACACUAUGAUUGACGCAAUGUUUAAUAAUUAAUUAAUUAACAUUGUAUUAAAUUUUCAUGAUGCUUGAUCGUAUCCUUAAUCACAAUAAUAUUGAAUACAAUAAUGUUGAUCGUUGUACUUAGGCCAUACCGAAAACUAUAAGGGUGAUUUCCAACUAUAUUACAUUAAUGGUUUCCAACUAUAUUACUUUUUAAAUGUUACUAAGAAAAAAAAGAAAGGAGACAUAUUAAAUAUUAAAUAUUAAAUUAAUGACUAAUUGCAUGGUCCAUGCAAUUGCAAACUAUUGUGAGAGUACUGUGACCAUAAGCUCCAUGAUUUGGGCGCAUGUGAAGAAAGAUGUGAAAAUUUUUACUCAAUUUAUUUUGUGUGCAUUGUCACACUAAUAAACCCUAUUUGUUAGUCUUUUGACCCCUCGUUUGCUUGCUCAGUUGCUCUCUUCUUCUAUAAAUAGCACCCAUGGGGGAGGAAGAGGCCUAUAGGCAAAGUUGCUAAUAGCUGUGUUCUUCCCUUGUUUUCCAUACUUCUACCAAGCUUUGCUUAGUUAUAUAUUGCUUGGCUAUCUUCCCUCCCCUUCUCCCACCGAUAAAUAAAUUAAUAAAAAUUCGCAUUACGGCCCAAAACAAAGUACCCGUUCUUGUUCUCCUUUUGCCUGUUUUCUUCCUGGAAAUUCAGUGCAUUUUAGGAAGGCGUUUGACGUUGGACCAAAAGCACAAUUUCCAGGAGGCCCAAACUUACGGUAGAAUCCUAGAAAAGGAAACAAGUAUUAUUCUUGGCCGCAAAAUUAACUUGCACGCAGUUGACAUUGAUAAAGGAGCUGUUGCCGACACGCAGUCUCCACCUUCACCACCAAGUGUGGUUAUAGGAGCAACCUAAGCCCGGCCACUCGAAAACAUAGACGACUUCAGGCCCAUAUCUUCCGGACCCAGACCUGGCGUCGGGCAUUCCCUUCAAAACUAGGUCAAAAAGUUUCAUGCAAGGUGCUGCAUCAGUAGUACUGCUGCAUCUCCAUUUUAAUCACUCAUUGCUAACAGAUGGUAUUUUAACAUGGUGACAGCAACUUUGAUCCUGGAAAGAAUUCAGCUUGGUUUGAUUUCUCUAUUUGACAUGUCUUAGUUUCAAUUUCAGUUUGAGGUGCCUUGGGUUUAAGUGUUGUGGGAAAAUAAUUAUUGUCUAGUCCAAGACAAAAAAAAAAUCAAUUUGUUAUCUCCCCAGUCAGUGUUUGUAAAAAUAUUAAGUCAAUGAAAAUAAUUUGUGUCAAUAAGCAAAUGAAAUUCAUGGUUUUUUAUAGCUCGCUCUAUGCCUAUUGUUGCUUUUAUUAGUACUUCAUCUGCUGUAAUUGUUAAAAUAAUUUUUAAAAAAAUUCAUCAGUCGUAUUUCUAUUCUGCUAUUACUGGCAUAUCUAUCGAAGUGAUAUAAGGUCACCAACUGCCAUUCCUCUUAUCUCUGAUUAAUAAUUUGUAGCUCAUUAUGGUUUCUAUACUAAAGGGAGAAAUAACACAAGUUAGUACUAUAUAUAUUUUAUGUUUUAAUUUCCAUUACCUAAUUGAUGUUAAAUCCCAUGAAUCAAAUGCACCUUAAUGUCACAGAGAUCAGAAAUCUUGAUCACAUCCCUAAUUAUUAAUGUAGACACCCACUUCCCAAAUCUGUUUUCUCGGUGGGAAUAAAAUAUAAUAAUAAGUAAGGGUAGAGUUUCAAUUCUAGUGAAACUUUUUCAAGACUUGAAUUUCAAAAUUGGAUAAAAAGAUCUCGUUUUUAAACCAAGGAUAUCAGAUUAGAUAGAGGGAUUUUGAUUUUUAAACCCUCAUUCAAUCUGAAACUAGCUCUAUAUAAACACCAGCAAUCACAAAAUAAAUACAUAGAGAAAGGGCGGUGAAAAAUAAGAGGCAAUCAGAAUUAAAGAUUUUGGAGUGAGUUUGCAGUAGAAAGUUUUUGGGAAGUCAAUGUUUUGAUUGGAGAAUCAAUUUCUUUUUUUGGGAUUUUUUGGAAAUUUUUUGAAAAUUUCCAGAAUCCAAUGAAUUUUUGGGCGAAAAUUUAAGUUUUUCGGCAUAUUUUUGACCAAAAAUCCAAUUUCUAACAAUAAAACUCAAAAAUCGAUUAACUUUCCGACGAUAGUCGAUGAAAAACGAUGAUCGAAAAUCACCUAUAAAGAGAGGCAAAAGAGUAGAGAGAGGAAGAGAAGAAAACUGUUUGAGGAAAAAAUGAAAUUUCAAGCCUUUUAUAUCAGCUAAAAAUGACACCGUUUCAGGGAGCUGAAAAGUGAUAGGAUCAACGUGUUUUGUCAAGAUCCGACCCGAUCCGCUGCGCACUGACCCAUCAACCCUUUCACCUAGCCGUUGUUGAGCCAUCAAGCCGAGCCGCCUCCAAGCCAUUCUAGCCUAUUUUGUUUCUAGAGCCACGUCCCUGUUGAGUCGCUCAACUAAGCCACCAAAGGUUUAUUAUUAUUAUUAUUAUUUAUUGAUUAUUAUCAUUAUUUUUUUUUCUUAUUUAUUUAUUGACUAAAUUGAGCUAAUUUACUUAUUUAAUUAAACAUCCUUAAAUCUUCAAUGAUUUUUCCUAAAUAAAAAUUCUAAAGUUUUUUUUUUAGGAAAAGUUGAAGGUAUUAAUUUUUCUUAAAAUAAAAUUUACAAAAAAAAAAGUAAAUAUUUUUGAGGAAAAGUUGAAAGUAUCAAUUUUUCUUAAAAAUAAAAAUUUCAAUUAUAAAAAAUAUUUUGAGGAAAAAUUUGAAAGUAUUAAUUUUCCUUAAAAAAGAAAUUUUGAAAAACAUUUUUGAGGAAAAAUUGAAAGUGUCAAUUUUUCUUAAAAAUAAAAUUUUCAAAAAGCAUUUUUGAGGAAAAGUUGAAAGUAUCAAUUUUUCUUGAGAAUAAAAAUAAAAUUUUUUCAAAAAAAAUAUCUUUGAGAAAAGUUAAAAAUAUCAAUUUUUCUUCAAAAUAAAAUCGUUAAAAAGGAAAUAUUUUAAAGAAAAAUUGAAAGUAUCAAUUUUCCUUGAAAUAAAAUUUUCAAAAAAGGAUUUUUUGAGAAAAAGCUGAAAUUUUUUUUAAAAAUGAAAUUUUUAAGAAAAAUAUUUUUGAGGAAAAAUUGAAAGUAUCAAUUUUUCUUGAAAAUAGAAAUGUCAAAAUGCUUUGAGGAAAAUUGAUAUUAAAAAAAUGUUGAAAGUAUCAAUUUUCCUUGAAUAAAAGCAUGGGGUUUUUUUUUUAUAUAUAUAAAAUAAUAAGAUAAAAAGACUUUUAUCAAAAGCUUAAAGCAUUAUUUCUUUUUUCUUUCAUUUUUAAAAAAAUUUUUAAAUAUUCCCACGACAGAGCCUUUGCGAGAGAAAUAGUAGUUUUCUUACAUACUCUUGAAGUGGGAGGAUUUUCUUAAUUUUUUGUCAAAAAUAUUAGAGUCAAUUAAGAAUAAUUUUCAAUAAUUAACUACUUAGUAAAGUUUUUAAGGCUAAUAGAUAACACAAAAUCGAGCUGGUACCAUCUUUCGAUGGAUGUUGUGGGGGUGCAAUAACAUUUCUCACCCGUAAUCGUACUCCCGGGCCUAGUUUUAGUUUCGCAGACAUUGAAUCUACUUUACAAAGAUACCUAAGUUAAACUUAGGAUUUUUCUUUAAAAAGGGACAGAUUCAGUCAGGUGGCCAAUCGCAUCUAAACAAAAAAGAUUGGUGGAUACUCCUUAAGUCAAUGUCUAGCGAUAGGUCCACGAAUCUAGACGUUAUGACAGUUUGAUGACUCCACUGGGGAGCAGCUGAGAGUCAGGCCAGCAAAUAAAUUCGUGUUAUCCAAAAGCCUAAUAAAAUUGAACCUUUUGUAUAGAUUUUUUAUUCAUUCAUAUUUAUUUAUUUUGUUAAUUAUGUCAUUUUUAUGCAUGUGCAUAACAUGAGCUCUAUACCUGAGCUCUGUCCUUUUAGGAGGAAGUAAAGUACCUAUUGCUUUCGUAAGGUUUUAAUACCUCGGCAGUAGUUAGUGAAAUACUCUCACUCAAAUUAAAAUUUUUUGCCUGUAGCCUAUAGUGGGUGAGGAUUGGGAUGUCUUACUAGUCUGUAAUGGACAAUGAUGUAAGGAGCAAUUUGAAAAUCUUUAGACUUUAACCUCGAUCCACAUAUAAUGGACCUUAGAAAUGCCUAACCUAUAGAUAGAGCCAUCUCUUUCUCGUUAGAAUUGACCAAAAGCAUAGGAUUCAUUCCUCUUAUUAUGUGUGAUGUUUUAAUUUAUUUAGUUAUUUAUUUAUUUCCCUUUACCUGAUGUACUAACCUCUUUUCCUAUUCAUUGUUUGCAUGAUUCAUACUCAUAUCAUAAAGUGCAUAAAGAACAUUUGCUUGAAAGACAGUCUUUAACAAAGAGUUUUUCAUGAAUUUCACAAAACGAUUGGGCUACUCUUCAUCUGUAUUAACUCGUUGUGAAUCACCCAAUGAAGUAAAGGUUCAAUUAGAAAAGAUCCAGCAAAAAAAAGGGGACUGUCUACCUGUUGGUCAUGUUUCUACCUUGGCGCAAGAAACAUCAAUCCUCGAUAUAUGGAAGAAAAUGAGUCUAUUAAGACAAGAGGAGUUUUGCCAGAGACAUGGACAUAUAGCACACCUUUUUACAGUAAAUAUUGAGAAUCAACUAAUUAGAGCCACAGUGCAAUUCUGAGAUCCUUCAUACAAGUGUUUCAUCUUCAAUGAAGUUGUUAUGACACUAACCAUUAAAGAAUACUCGACUUUGUUGGGUUUGUACCUCAUGGCUCCUGACAAAAUAUAUGUCAAGAAACAUAAAUCAAGAUUUCGUAAAAAUCUGGCCCAUCUGAUGGGGAUAAACAAAGAUAUUAUGGAUUUUCAUACAAAGAAGAAGCAAUAGUAGGUUUACUUACCUUAAAAGUUUUUCAUGAUUUUUUGAUACAACAUAGCUUUGAAAAGCGUAGGUUAGACGUGUUUACCUUAACAGAAUGAUGAUAUUUUCAAAUGUUUUAUGGUAUAUUGAAAUAGUAGUGAUUGACUUCUUCGAAAGCGUGAUCAAUGGCUAUAACUCUUCAACGGUGAUAUCGGUAGAGACUAUUAGAUCUUUAAGUUACUGUCGCCAGAUGGGGGACGUUUCACGGGCUGUAUACAACUAUUGUAUUUAUGGAUGAAAAGCCAUUUCGAGUGUAAAAAAAGUGCAUUCUCAAAGCUUUAUUUUUGUAAUUGAACUCCAAUAAAAGAAUUUUAUAAAAGUGGGUGGCCAAAACAAAAGCCUAAAAAAGAAUGGAUAGCUUUCUUACAAAAGUUGACAAGUACCGAGAUAAGAUGAUUGGUUCCAUAGAUGAAUCAUGAACCCAUGCUAUAUUAGUGUAAAGAUAACACUGUAGUCCCACUUUUAAGCUUAUGAGAAGCAAUAAGUUAUGUUCUAUUUCUAGUUGGAAGACAGUUUGGGACAGAACAGUUUAUUUCCAUGACACAUGGGCUUCAUCAGUAAGAUUUUUCUUAUAAUAAGCCAAAAGCCUUUCAGAGGAUAAAUGAUGUCAUUAAAGCAUGGAAAAAUCCCCACAGGGUGAGUCCUGAGCUAUUCACUGAUAAGGUCACUUAUGGGUACGGGGUCUGGAGAGCAAGACGAGGACAGAAAGUGGUAUUCACUCUUGAGAGUUUUCAACCACCAAUAAGAGAAAUGCUCGAAGAAACACAAUCAGAAUUAGAACUUGCAAGGAAAGAAUUCGAGGUUGAAAAAGAUAAGCUAAAGCAAGAGAUUCAGAAGCUUCAAGAAGAGAAAGAUCAAUGGAAAGAUAGAGCUAAAAAACAUGAAGUUAAAGUUUGUAAGAUUACUAAGAAACGUGAUACAGCUGUUAAAGACCUAGCAGAGCUACACCAAGAACAUAAAAGGUUAUGUGUGAGGGUAAAGGCCAAAGAGAUAACAAUCGCUGAGUUGAUUGAUGAGAAUGAGUGAUUAUUGAAUUAGAAGAAAAAAGUACCCAAGUACAUACAGAAAAUAAUAUGUUGAAUAACUACCUAAGCAUGUUGAGAUAAAUGAUGAAUGAACAAGAAGACUAUAUCGCUGUAUUGGUUAGAGAGCAUAGAGAAUUAUCAUACCAAGUGUGGUGUGGUAAAAGGAAAAACCUAGAAAGAUAGAGGUAUAUCGAGCAUUUGAUAACCCAAAUUUGCAAAGGGGCAGGUAAGGCAAGAGAAUGGUCGAAGAGGCAGAAGCAUUAAAGUAAGUGGUGGCCCCAGUAGAGAAACAUGGACAAUGCCUGUUGAAUUCAUUAAAGAAGCAAAAAACUAGUAUGAACGGAUCAAAAGAUUCUAUGGUUAUAACUCUAGGAUGAUAAAUUCUAUGUAAACAAAGUUUCUUUGAAAUAAAUAAAAUAUUUUGGUUGAACACUGUCUUAAGGUAAAUGUUCUUUGCAUGCAUGCAUUUUCAUUCGUUGCAUUCUCAUUCAUUUUAUUUAACAAAAUAAUCGUCUUAAGUUUUUAUGAGAUAGUCAUAUAAACUUGCUAAUUCUGAGAUAUGAUAUUAAAGGUUCAAGGAUAGCUCGACCAUUAAUAAAUUUGAGCUAACCUGUACAUCACCCAUAUAAUACUCCAUCGUGAGCUAGACAAAUGGAACGAGAACAAAAUACUCGUAUAGAUAAGAUCAAAAAAGCUCAAAAAGAGAUAAAGGGAAAAUUGAUGAAGUUGAUGAAAAUGUUAAAAAAAUUGGACAAGAGUAAGACAGUAGAAGAAACCCCUAAUCUGAAUGAAAGGUAAUAUAUUGUGGAUCCUUUAUACCGUCUCGGGUUUGAUCCAAACCAAGGUCAAUCUUCUCAAGAGACACAAGCCUCACACAUACCAUUUUCUAGGGCAUAUGCUUACACCUAUCCUGAAGCACCAUAUCGUAGUUACACUAACCUCACUUUUGGGGUAAAGACAGCAGACCUAGUUGAAGUCCCUAAUUUUGAUGACCUUAAAGAGAAGGAAAGGUUGAAAGCAAAAACCACUAAGGUAAUUGAAGAGUCAAACUCCUAACAGAAAAUAAAUAUUUUAGAGGAAAGAGUUUAAGCCAUUGAGGGUAUGGAUUAUUUUGGCACUAUGGAUCAUCCCAAUUAUGUUUAGUUCCAGAUGUGAUCAUCCCACCGAAGUUUAAAGUCCCUCAAUUUGAAAAAUUCGAUGGGACUAAAUGCCCAUUAACCUACGUUACCAUGUAUUACCCGUAAAAUGGCCGCUCAUGCUCAUGAUGAAAAAUUAUUGAUACAUGUCUUUCAAGAUAAUCUUACAGGCUCUACAGUAAGAUGGUACGUACAAUUAGACACAUUAUAAACUUAGCACCUGACCGACUCUUCUUACAAAGCAUAAAGAAAAAAAUUGUAAAAAGUUUCAAGCAAUAUGCUCAAAGAUGGAAAGAUGUUGCUUCUCAAGUCUAACCACCUCUCAUAAAAAAAAGUAAUGAUACUUUUUGUUAGUUCUUUUAAAUCUUCUUAUUAUGAAAGAUUAAUAAGAAAAGCUACGAAGAAUUUUACCGAUAUGGUUAUAUCAGGUGAGAUGAUUAAAAAUGUCAUUAAGAACAGUAAGUUAGAUUGAUGAGAGAUAAUCGAUGUAAAGAAGAGUGGCCCAUCUAAGAAGAAAGAAGAAGAAACUCAUACUGUGAGUUGUGAGGGCCAACAGUUCAAAGGUUAUGUUCUUUUUUUAUAACCACCCUAUGAUCCAACCCAAGUUGUAACUACCCACUACUCAUAUCAACCAUCAUACUAGUAAGUCUACCAACCAACCCUUCAACCACAACCACUCAUACAUAUAUACAAUUCAUCCACCAUACCUCAAGUAAGAUUUAUCCCUAAACAGAAUACCCAGCUAAGUAAUUCAAGAGAGUCAUGAAACAACCAAAGAGAAGGUCACAUUUGACCUAAUCUCUAUGCCUUUUACAGACCUACUCCCAUAGCUCAAAAAAAAUUAGUAGCUUGUGUCCCUAUAGAUCUUGUAAAACCACUUUUUCUUAAAUAGUAUGACCCAAAUGCUCAAUGUGAUUAUCACUAUGGGGUUACAGGCCAUUUCAUAGAUAACUAUAUCUCUUUGAAACAUAAGGUGCAAAACUUGAUAAAAAAGGUUUGAUAAGCUUUGAAGAAGAAAUGGCACCUAAUGUCAAUGGUAACCAUCUACCAACCCAUACUGGGGUAAUAAUUAAUGUCAUACAUAAGGAUCAUACUAGCAGAAUCAAAAGAAGGGUAGAUAAGAUUAGGACCCCUCUAGAUAAAGUGUUUGAUACCUUAUUGGGAGCAAAUAUACUGUAUUCGAUGGACCCAUAUAUUUAUCGUAGAGAGUACAAUCCGUUCUAAAAAUGUAAAUACCAUAAGCGACUUGUAGGGCAUUCGAUUGAAAAUUGUGAUCAAUUUUGUCAAAUUCUGUAACAAUUGAUGGAUUCAUUCCAAAUUGAGUUUUACGAAGAUGAAAAAAAUUUAAAAAAUAUAGAGGUAUCCAUCACCGAGUAGGUUUCAAAGCCCAUUUUAAAACCACUGACAAUAUAUUACAAGAGGCCAAAGCCAAUAGAGAGCCAACCCACCUUUAAACCAGUUAUAACUUUCAAGAUCCCUAGUCCUUUCUCAUACCAGAAUAACAAGGUAAUACCAUAGAAAUAUAAUUGUGAGGUUGAAACGACGGGGUCAAAUGAAGGAGAUAUAUCAAGCAAUUCUGAUACAGUAAAUAUAAUUGGAGUGGGUGGCAUGACUAGAAGUUGAAGAUGUUCAUCUCCAAAAAUGGUAGAGAAAGCGAAAAAAAAGAAAUCAAAAGUUGAAAAGGAAAAAAAGAAUAAGAAAAACCCCGUGGCAGUGCCAAGACAGGAAUACCAAAAACCCAUUUCUGAAAAGGAGGCUUAUGAGUUUCUGAAGCUAAUCAAAUAUAGUGAGUAUAGUGUGAUGGAACAGCUGAAAAAAAUGCCAGCCAAGAUCUCACUUUUAUCAUUAUUGUUAAAUUCAGAGCCUCACCGUAAUGCUUUUUUUAAAUCAGGCAUACGUAUCCCAUAAUGUAUCUGUGGAACACAUAGAUAACCUUGUAAAGAAUCUGGUGGCCUCAAACUAUAUUACUUUUAAUGAUGAUGAGAUCCCCUCAAAAAGAAGAGAAAGUACUAAAGCUUUGCGUAUUACAGUUAGAUGUAAAAGCCAUACAAUAGCUAAGAUUCUUAUUGACAACAGCUUUGUGAUUAAUGUGAUGCCUAUGUCCACUCUGGUUAGGCUACCUGUUGACAUGUCUUACAUGAGAAUCAGCCAUAUGAUCAUUAGAGCUUUUGAUGGAGCUAGGUGAAAGGUGAUAGGAGAUAUUAAAAUACAACUACAAAUCUUGUCGUGUAAUUUCAAUGUCAAGUUUCAAGUGAUGGAUAUUAGAGUGGUCAUGGAUACACAUAGCGGGUGCUGUCCCAUCCUCGCUGCACCAAAAAAUAAAGUCAUUGUUGAGGGGAAACUGGUGAGUGUGUCAGGAGAAAAAAAUCUACUAGUGACCCAGCCAGCGAAUACUCCAUAUAUGAAAGCCACAGAUGAGGUUGUAAAGUGCUCUUAUAGAUCAUUUGAGCUAGUUAAUGUAACUUAUGUUGGCGAAGGAUCUAGGUUGUAUACAUCAUAACUGUCAGCCACUACCAAGAUGGUUGUUAAGUAGAUAAUUGAAAAAGGAUGGCAUCUUGGAAAAGGGCUAAAAAAAAAGCAGCAUGGGUUCAAAAAUUACCAGCUGUGAUUAACAACCAGGAGAGAUUUUGCUUAGGAUAUAAGCCAACCAAAGUGGAUAAAGAGAGGCUGAUUGAAAGCAAGAAAGAGAAGAGGAUGGCCAAAUUUAAAAGACAGAAGCUAAGGUCAGAAAAGAUUAUUAUUUCUUAUCUGUAUGAUACCUUUCGAUUAAGAUGAUGUAUUUACCUUGGUGAUGAUAACCAGGAUGUAGGGUUGAAAGAAUUUUUUUUUGAACUUUUCAUUCAAAUGAUGGAAGAAGAGGUGAUUAAAAGUUAAGAUAAAGAGUUGUUAGUGUAUCUAACCCUAUAAGGCUUAGAGUUGAAGAAUUGAGAGAUCAUUGAGCUGCUUAUUGUCCUUGAGUCUUUAAAAAGUAAUAUAGCGAAUGAAAUUCCUAUACUUUUGCCUAAGAGUACUAGGUUUAUUUUUUUUUAUAUGGGCCAUUCAUUCAUUUCAAUAAAAAGAUCGAUGUAAUGCAUUUGCAUUUCUUCUAUCCAUUUUUUAAUUUUUCAUUUCAUACAUCUUGUCGACAUUUCUCCUUUCUUACUUACUCUUAGGUACCCAGAUAAUAAAUAUGAAGAUAAUCAUGAUAGUAACCCAAGGUUUGAUUUCAAAAAUCCAAUAUAUAUUGGUGAACUUGAUCAUGAAAAGAACUCAGAUGAUGACACUUUACCUCUUAACCUAGUGAAAUUUAUAGAACAAGAGAAGAAACCAAUUGAACCUCACUAAAAAAAUAUUGAAUUAAUAAAUCUAGGAGAUGAUAUUAACAAAAAAUAAGUUAAAAUGGGCAUGUCAUUACCUCUAAAUAAUAGGCAAAGAUUAAAAGAAUUACUUUGUGAAUAUGUAGACGUCUUUACAUGAUUUUACCAAGACAAUGUCUGGACUUAGUACUGAAAUAGUAUAGCAUAAGCUACCUUUAAAGUCAGAGUGUAAAUCAAUGUAGCAGAAAUUGAGACGAAUAAAGACUGAAAUGUUAUUGAAGAUCAAAGAAAAAAUGAAGAAAUAGUUUGAUACAGGUUUUUUAGAGGUGGUUAAGUAUCCAGAUGGGUAACGAACAUAGUCCCAAUGCUGAAAAAAAUGAAAAAGUCUAGAUGUGUGUCGACUAUCAAGAUUUGAACAAGGCAAGCCUAAAAGAUAACUUUCCUUUACCUCAUAUUGAUACCCUAGUAGACUAUACAACUAAACAUUCCAUAUUUUCUUUUAUGGUUGGAUUCUUGAGGAAUAAUCAAAUUAGGAUGGCUAAAGAUGACAUGGAGAAAACUAUAUUCAUCACUAUAUGAGGAACUUUUUGUUACAAAGUAAUGUCUUUCGGGUUGAAAAAUGCUGGAGCCACUUACCAAAGAGCUAUGGUAACUCUCUUUCAUGACAUGAUGCAUAAAGAAAUAAAAGUAUACGUGGAUGACAUGAUUGCGAAGUCUAGAAAAGGAAAAGAUUAUGUUGCCAACCUCAAGAGAUUAUUCGAGAGGUUGAGAAGAUUUUAGUUGAAAUUAAACCUAUCAAAAUACACAUUCGGGGCUAUGUCAGGGAAGCUAUUGGGUUUUGUAGUUAGUGAAAAAGGAAUAGAGGUAGAUCCUGACAAGAUUCGAGUCAUCCAAAACUUGUCACCUCCAUGCACAAAAAAAAAUGUAUGAGGUUUUUUAGAAAGGUUGAAUUAUAUAUCUCGAUUAAUUUCUCAGGUCACUCUUAAAUGUGAUCCUAUUUUCAAACUCUUCUGUAAAUAUAGCUCUGACAAAUGGGAUGAUGAAUAUCAGAAAGCUUUCGAUAAAGUCAAAGAGUACAUGUCAAAUCCAUCUAUACUAGUACCACCUAUUCUAGGAAAACCAUUGAUUCUAUAUUUAACUAUGAAUGAAGGCUCUAUGAGAUGUGUAUUGGGGUAACAAGAUGAAACAAACAAAAAAGAGCAAGCCAUCUACUAUUUAAGUAAAAAAUUUACUGACUAUGAAUCAAAGUAUUCCUCAUUGAAAAAGAUGUGUUGUGCCUUAGCUUAGACGACUCAUAGGCUUAGGCAAUAAAUGUUAUACCAUACCAUAUGGCUCAUAAUAAAAUUAGAUUCUUUCAAAUAUGUUUUCAAAAAAUCUUCACUAUCUGAAAGAAUUGCUUGAUGGCAGGUAAUACUUUUCGAAUACGAUAUUGUCUACGUAACUCAAAAAAUUAUUAAAAAAAAUGCCAUAGCUAAAUUUUUGACAGAACGAGCAGCUAAUGAUUAUGAACCAAUAAAGCUUGAUUUUUUGGAUGAAGACUUGAUGGUCGUUUCCCAAGUUGAUAAAGAAGAGUCUACUGAGCAGUCUUGGAAGAUGUAUUUUGACGGAGCUGUAAAUGCUUUAGGACAUGGAAUUAGGGCAAUCUUAAUAUCUCUAAAAGAGAAUUAUAUCCCUAUCACAGCAAGGUUGAAUUUCAAUUGCACUAAUAAUGUAGCUGAAUACGAAGCCUGUGUUAUGGGCUUACAAGCUGCAAUUGAAAGCAAAAUCAAAGUACUAAAAGUUUAUGGAUACUCAGCAUUAGUUAUUUAGCAGUUAAGAGGAGAAUGAGAGACAAGGGAUGCAAAGCUGAUAAAAUAUCACAAGUAUGUCGCUGUCUUGGUCAAACAAUUUGAGAAGAUUUAAUUUGAACAUCUACCUAGAGAAGAUAAUCAAAUUGCUGAUGCCUUAACCACAUUGGUAGCAUGAUCAAGAUGAAGACAUAUAUUGAAAUUCAACCUAUAAAGCUUAAUGUGAGAGAAUUUUUAGCACAUUGUUCAAAUGUCAAAGAGGAGGUUGAUGAGAAGCCUUGGUAUCACGACAUUUACAGUAUCUGAAGAAUCAACAAUACUCAGAGUAUGCUACUGAAAAUGAUAAAAAUAUUAUUAAAAGAUUAGUCAUGGGUUUCUUUUUUGAUGAAAAUAUCUUGUAUAAGAGAAAUCAAGAUCUAGUUCUUUUGAGAUAUGUAAAUGCAAUAAAGGCAUAAAAGAUCAUGGAAGAAGUUUAUAAUGGGGAGCUGUGGAGCUCAUGCAAGUGGCCACAUGAUGGAAAGACAAAUUAUGAGGGUAGGGUAUUAUUGGUCGACCAUGAAAAGUGACUAUAUAGAUUAUGCUAAAAAAUAUCAUAAGUGUCAAAUCUACGUAGAUAAAGUACAUGUCCUUCCAAAUGAUCUACAUGCCAUAACGCUUCCAUGGCUAUUUUCAAUGUGAGGCAUGGAUGUUAUCAAACCCAUCGCACUGAAGGCUUUAAAUAGACAUAGGUUCAUUUUUGUAAUUAUUGACUAUUUCACAAAAUAGGUUGAAGCUGCAUCAUAUACUAGUAUGACUCAAUCAGUGGUGUAUAAGUUCAUUAAGAAAGAGGUAAUAUAUAGAUAUGAGCUCUAAAAAAGAAUUAUCUCAGAUAAUGUCAAGAAUCUUAAUAGUAAGAUGAUGAAAGAGAUAUGUGCCCAGUUUAAGAUCAAGUAUAACAACUUGACACCUUACCAUCCAAAAAUGAAUGGAGCAGUAAAAGCAACAAACAAAAAUAUUAAAAAGAUUUUUAAAAAAUGACUGAAACCUAUAAAGAUUGACAUGAAAAAUUACUUUUUACUUUGCACGUUUAUCGGACAUCAAUAUGUAUUUCUACUGGGGUAACCCUAUUUUUUUUAGUUUAUGAGAUGGAAGCAGUGCUACUUGUAGAAGUAAAAAUCCCUUCUUUAAGAAUCUUAAGGGAAAUUGAUUUGAAAGAAGCUGAAUGGAUCUGGAAACAUUACGAGCAAUUAAAUUUUAUUGAGGAAAAAAGAUUGACAGCGCUAUGCCAUGAGCAGUUAUACCAAAAGAAAAUGAUACGAACGCAUGAUAGAAAAAUUUGACCUCAGUGUUUUCAUAAAGGGGAGUUGGUUCUUAAAAGGAUUCUCUCAAGUCAACAUGAUAAUAGAGAAAAAUAGACUCCGAAUUGGAAAGGUCUAAUGUUGUCAAGAAGGCAUUCUCAAAAAGAGCUUUAAUCCUUAUAGAAAUGGAUGGAAAAGAUUUGCCCAAUCUAAUAAACUCAGAUGCUAUGAAGAAGUACUUUUUUUAACAAAAAAAAAGAGGUCAAAUUGAAAACCCGUAAAGGGCGAUUUGAGUUCAAAAAAAAAAAAGAGAUUCAGAUUUAAAAUCCAUAAAGGGUGAUUUGAGUUUCAAAAAAGGAGGGCUCGAAUUAAAAACCCCACAAAAAGCAAUUUGAGGAUAUCUAAGUUGAAAGCCUGAAAAGGCAAUAUAGAGGUUCAAGAUAUUACUUUUAUGGCAUAAGGAAGAAGUGUGAUUUGAUGAACUUGACAAGAUCAAGAAUUCCAGGUUGAUAGUUUUGGGAAAAAAACUCUAGGUUACUUUGAUCAUGAUUAUUUGAUGGCCUACUUUAGCCCAUCUUUGUAACUCAGUCACAUUCAAUCAAUAAAAUCCAUUUCUUUCUUGAUGUCAACAUUGACCUCUUUUAUUGUUUUCAUUUUCUUUUUCUUUACCCUUUUACCUAGGUCAAAAGAUAUGUGCAUUUUCUUUACAUUUGUUAUUUUAUCGAAAUGAUAAUGAAAGAAUAAACAAUGAUAUGAAAGCCAAGAGCAGCAUAGGUAAGCCAAAUGAGACCAAUGAAAACUUAGUGAAAUGUUGAUCUCGGUUUGGCUGAAGCUAAAAGACAAUGAUAGUUUGAUUCCUUAACCAAAUAUGUUUAGAAGUUAAAGGGUUCAUCACUAAAGCAAAAAUGAAAACAGCGAAGAGCUUGAGAAUCUUUUUACCAUAAUUAGAUAGGUCCAAUAUUUUUUAACAUUUCAUUUAGGCAUUCCAGGAAAUUGGCAUUUCAUAGCACUUCACGUAUACAUGUUAUUUGCUUUUACAAUGAAGUGUUCAGACCCCACAAAUGAUUGAAGUUGUCAAGAAUGAAGUGGCAAUUGUUUCGAAUACAACAUGCACUAAUAGUCUAGAUUAUUCAUUUCGAGUUUCAGUUCAAUCCAGGUCAUUCUAUUUUCGAAUUUCGGCUUAUACCAAAUCUUUUUUUGACUUUUGUCAAAUCUUUCUUAGUCCAAGUUAUUCAUUUCAGACUUCGGUUCAGUCUAGGUCAUUUUGUUUUGGAUUUUAACUUUUGUCAAAUCUUUCUUCGACUUAGUCCAAGUUAUUCAUUUUAGACUUUAGUUCAGUUCAGGUCAUUUUGUUUUAGAUUUUAAUUUAUGCCAGAUUCUUCUUCAGCUCAGUCCAAAUUGUUUAUUUCAGACUUCGAUUCAAUCCAGGUCAUUUUAUUUUUGGGUGCUAUGCCAUAUCUUUCUUCGAUUCAGUUUAAGUUAUUUAUUUCAGACUUUGGUUCAAUCCAUGUCAUUUUUUUAAAUUUCGGCCUAUGCCAGAUCCUUAUUAAUUUCAGUCCAAGUUAUUCAUUUUAGAUUAGGAUUCAGUUUGGGUCAUUUUAUAUUGGAUUUUGGCUUAUGUCGGAUCCAUUUUCGGGUUAUCCCAUUUUGGACUCGAUGCAAUCUAUGUCAAAGUGUUGUCUUUCAAAUAAGGUCGUGAUGGGUGUCUAUGUUUUUGCAUAAUCUUUGUUUCACAAAAAUUAUUCAAAGAGAAGCAACUGUAGACACCCACUUCCCAAAUCUGUUUUCUUUGUGGGAAUAAAAAAUAAUAAUAAGUAAGGGUAAAGUUUCAAUUCUAGUGAAACUCUAUCAAGACUUGAAUUUCAAAACUGGAUAAAAAGAUCCCGUUUUUAAACCAAGGAUAACAAAUUAGGUAGAGGGAUUUUGAUUUUUAAACCCUUAUUCAAUCUGGAACUAGCCCUACAUAAACACCAACAAUCACAGAACAAAGAACACAGAGAAAAAAUGAUGAAAAAUAAGAGGCAAUCAUAAUGAAAUAUUUUGGAGUGAGUUUACAGUAGAAAGUUUCUAGGAAGUCAGUGUUUCGAUUGGGGAAUCAAUUUUUUUUUGGGAUUUUUUUAGAUUUUUUUGAAAAAUUCCAGAAUUUGAUGAAUUUUCUGAUGAAAAUUUAAGUUUUUCGACAUAUUUUCAAUGAAAAAUUCAGUUUUCGAUGAUAAUCCCAGAAAUCGAUAAACUUUUCGACGACAAUCGAGGAAGAUAAGAAACUGUCUGAGGAAAAAAUGAAAUUUCAAGCCUUUUAUAUUAGCUAAAAACGACGCCGUUUCGAGGAGCUGGCCGAGCUACCAAAGGUUUCUUUUAUUAUUAUUAUUAUUUAUUUAUUUAUUUAUUAUUAUCAUUAUUUUUUCCUUAUUUAUUUAUUGACUAAAUUGAGCUAAUUUAUUUAUUUAAUUAAACAUCCUUAAAUCUUCAAUGAUUUUUCCUAAAUAAAAAUUCUAAAAUUUUUUUUGACGAAAAAUUGAAGGUGUCAAUUUUUCUUAAAAUAAAAUUUACAGAAAAAAGGAAAUAUUUUUGAGAAAAAGUUGAAAAUAUCAAUUUUUCUUAAAAAUAAAAAUUUCAAUUAUAAAAAUAUUUUGAAGAAAAAUUGAAAGUAUCAAUUUUCCUUAAAAAUGAAAUUUCGAAAAGCAUUUUUGAGGAAAAGUUGAAAGUGUCAAUUUUUCUUGAAAAUAAAAUUUUCAAUUCUAAAAAAUAUCUUAAAGGAAAAGUUGAAAGUAUUAAUUUUCUUAAAAAUAAAAUUUUCAAAAAGCAUUUUUGAGGAAAAGUUGAAAAUAUCAAUUUUCCUUGAGAAUAAAAAUAAAAAUUUUUUCAAAAAAAAUAUCUUUGAGGAAAAGUUAAAAAUAUUAAUUUUUUUUCAAAAUAAAAUCGUCAAAAAGGAAAUAUUUUAAAGAAAAGUUGAAAGUAUCAAUUUUUCUUAAAAUAAAAUUUUCAAAAAAUGAUUUUUUGAGGAAAAACUGAAAUUUUCUUUAAAAAUGAAAUUUUUAAGAAAAAUAUUUUUGAGAAAAAGUUGAAAGUAUCAAUUCUCCUUGAAAAUAGAAAUAUCAAAAUGCUUUAAGGAAAAGUUAAAAGUAUCAAUUUUUCUUGAAUAAAAGCAUGAUGUUUUUUUUUUUUUUAUAAAACAAUAAGAUAAAAAGACUUCUAUCAAAAGCUUAAUGCAUUAUGCCCUUUUUCUUUCUCUUUUAAAAAAAAUGUCAAAUAAUCCGACGAUAGAGCCUCUACAAGAGAAACAAUAGUUUUCUUACAUACUCUUGAGAUGAGGGAAUUUUUUUUAAUUUUCUGCCAAAAUUAUUGGAGUCAAUUAAGAAUAAUUUUUAAUAAUUAACUACUUGGUAAAGUUUUUAAGGUUAAUGGAUAACAUGAAAUCGAGCUGGUACCAUCUUUCGAUGGGCGUUGUGGGGGUGCUAUAACUUUUCUCACGUGUAAUCAUACUCCCGGACCUAGUUCUAGUUUCGCAGACAUUGAAUCUACCUUGUAAAGAUAUCUAAGUCAAAUUUAAUAUUUCUCUUUAAAAAGUGACAGAUUCAGUUAGGUGGUCAAUUGUACCUAAACAAAAAAUAUUGAUGGCAACUCUUCAAGUCAAUAUUUAACGAUAGAUCCACGGAUCUAGACGUUAUGAAAAUUAAUUCUGCAAUUAGUACCGUAUAAUUUCAAUAAAAUAAUACAAUCUCCUAUCAGCUAUACAUAUGAUCUCGAACAUGCAUGAAUGUCAUCAUUUUGUCACUAGAAGAUCCAUUUCUUGAGCAUAAAACAUUUCUAUUUUCAACGUUUAGGCACUGCAUGCAGUAUACUUUUGGAAAAAUAAAAGAAAUAGCGUAAUUAACAAGAUUACCUGCUUGCUUAUAGAAUUGAGGACGACCACCACGAUAGUCCUCAUCACUUGUUGAUGGCUCAAUUAGGAUGAAUCUGGACAUAUUUUUGGAUGGACGAAUCUCGACGUUUUGGUACAAUCUCUCAAACAAGUUUAAACCAUUUAGUUCAAGACUUCAAAAAGUUACUAUACAGAGUAACUUCUUAUUCUUAAAUUAUUCGUCAAGGUGUCAAACUCUUCUAAGUUGCAUGCAUUAUUAUUUGAAGGAAAAAAAAGCUCUAGUAUUCAGAGCAUACUCUACGUAUUUAUGUACUGCAAUACUCUGUACAAUGAACCUAGACUCAGAUAAGUUAAGUAUUGCAGUACCUGGAACAGUUAUUGGGAAUCAAAAUUAAGUUCAUAUACAUGAGAGAUUCUUCUGCUCGAACUGAAAUAAAUUUUAAGUAUUAACAACUUAAGUUGCAAUUUUACAGCCUAGCACGGCAGAGAAUCAAAAGAGUUAUUAGCAGUCUUUCUUCUCUGUAUAUAAAGCAGUGCUAAAAGGUUCAAUACUGCCGGAUGCUGUGGACUUCCUCAGAUGGGAAGGAGCAAAGAGCCCACUUCCUACAAUAGCUAUCUUUUUUUUCUUUCGAAAAGUUCUCAUUUGGCACUGCCUACCUAUGGUCAUGGCAGCUUAACGGCCAAUCUCUGGUCAUUACAGCUCGCAUAUUCAACGAGACCAGGUGCCCACUUCCCUUUAGUUUUUUACUUCCGGUUAAACUAGGAGGUAGCUGGUCCAGCUGGGACGGCCUCUCGUCUCGCCCUUCUUUCUUCGGAUUUGAAUUUCCUUUUGUCGACGGGGAAUUGGAGCUCAUCAUUUGCUUUCUUUGACUUGGUCGACCAAGACAAAUGCAAGAUUUCUUUAGUGAUGAAAUGCAAGUGGAGGGAGGGACCUCUCUUUUGGUUGUUGCCCUUGACUUUUUUAUUAAUUAUGAUCAUGCCGAUAUUUACCAAAAAAAAAAAAUUGCAAGCGUGAGAAUAGCCGUUAGACAAACAAUUGAUCACACCAAUAACAAAGAGUUUAUGUUGUUUACACAAGCAUGAACUGUCCCUUCAAAUUCUUGCAGAAGAUCCUCAGUUGAUUAGGAUUGUUUUUUCAGUGAUCAAUUCCAGCAGGACCCACUGAUAAAUAUUCUUAGUGGAGUAAUACAAAUAUAAUUAAACAAUAGAAAAAAAAAUCUCACUCAAGAAUUGUCUUUCAGUACAGUAUGAUUUUGUUUAAGGAACCUAGUAGAACAGCCUAGCUUUUCAGAGAUAGAGGAUGGAUCUCAAUUGUUGAUGUGACAUACCUUUGAUUUUUUUUAUGGCAUGACAUGUUCUCGAGUUCGAUAAAGAAAGAGCUCUCACUCCUUAGGAGAGAAAGAGAAAGUCAAACCUCUAGUGCAAAUUCCAUAAAGCACAUAAAGGGUCAAAUUUUUGCAUUUAGAAACCUCGAAAAGCAAGAUUCAUAUCAAUAUCAACUUAUGACACUGAUACGUGGUCAAUUUCCGGCUGUUCAAUGAACCAUCCAUUGUGACCCGUGAUACUACUUUUUUCCAUUAGUGGAAGCUAAAUCAAACCCAGUUUUCUUAAUUAAAACAUUUCCAUCACUAGAGCGCUUUCUCUACUGUUUUAUAAAUUAUUGUUUAGGCUGGUAUUAGUAGUUAAGGUUCAAAGAUGCUUGUUUUUAUUCUUUGAAUUCAUUUUCUGAGCAUAUAAGAUGCUUACAAUCAAUUAGUACUUUUAGAUCAUUGGUGGUGUUGUUACGGCCGGGCCCUAUCAUUUUGGUUACUUGGGCACUAACUGUACUGCCAUUGGGUUAUACUAACUGAUACUUUUGAAUACAGCUUAACUUGAGGAAUAUUGGUUGGAAAGUGAAAGUUUAGGCAUAAAAAAAAGGUUAAGUUGGAGGGAUAUGCUGUCCUCUUAUUCCAUUCAAUUGGUUUUCCCAAGGUUUCUGAAGUCUCUUAUGAUUUCAUUUUGCCAUAGAUCUCAUAUAUAAUUAUAGCCAGUAAUUGGAUGGUAAGACUAGUAAAGGAAAACAUUGAGAAAUUUAUUUUCAACACUUGCAUAACUAGGAGAUGACAUUUGGUUCAAUUAAAGUUGUCAUUCUUAUCAGAUACCCUAUUAAUAAGCUUAUUAAUGCCAGUUAAUUGAACACAAGAAAUUAAUUUCAUUAAAAGUUGUUGAAGGUGUUGUUAAUUAUCUAUAGUUUCCAGCAGCGAAGCUUUAACAUUCAGCAUCCAAACAAUGAUUCUACCCAUUUGUAGUUGAAAGUUUGCAACUGCCAUUAACAAUGGAGGUUCAAAAAAAGAGGUAUAGGACAGAUGUAUUUCACUUGAAUUUGUCGACCAAAAGAGUUCUAAAGCUUGCACAACAGCCAUCAGCAUAUAAUAAUACUAUUUAUGCAUUUUUGCAAGGGGUGCAUUUCGGUGGUGGGGAAGCCCAUUUCCUAAAAUAUAUUGCUAUCUCUAGGGAAUAUCCGGAUAUAAACCAACACGGUUAGCAUCUAAUAUUUUAUGUCUGUCACUAAAAUUUUGAUUAAACAGAUUGCUGUCCUCACACAUUAAUUCAAACGACAAAGAAACAUUACCGCACUAUGAAAGGUCAAGGAUCGAGCUUCAAUCUGCAAUAGACAGCUUUGUCCUCGAAAUUUUUUUAAAAAGAGAGGUGUUGAGGAUGCCAUUGUUUCACUCUGCAGAAGUUCUUAUUAUGGUUAAGAAAAGAUACAAUAAGAGCAGAAUAAGUGGGGUAGAGAGAAGAUUACCAAGAUAUAUGCAAAAUAUGGAAGAUAUUGUCUUCAAGAGAGUCAAAUUAUAAUACAUUUGGUGGGACAUAGAACAAUACUAGUGAGAGAUAUCUUCAAGAGAGGAAAUACAUUAAUUUCCACAUUAUUGUAUAAAAAAAAUGUUUCUAGAAUUCAAACCCUUAAUUAUUGCAAUCGAUGCCACACCACUCAUUAAGGUUUAUGAAUAAUUAGCCGUUAGGAUCCUUAAAGGGCCCUGAUUCUUGACAUUAUAAAUCGGGGAAGAGCUGAACUCGCUUCAUUGUGCUUGGUUUUAUCUUCUCCCUCUCAUCUCUCUUAAUCCUAUCUCUGGCUGUUUCAUUCUGUAAUAUAUACUACAAGAGCCAUGGAUCAAUGUGUUGUUUUUCUUCUUGCAUUGAUUGCCUGCAGCCAUUUAGUUUUCUCAGUUGAGGGAAGACAAAUAAAAUCAGUGAGCAAACUUGGUUCAAAGCAGAGCAACCAGGUUGACAACUCUGCAAUGCACAAAGAAGAUCAUCAACCUGGAGCCCCAUGUUACAUUUCUAAUGCUCCUGCCCACCAUUCAGCUUCAGUAUCAGGAAAGAAAGAAAUAUUGUCACUCCCUAUACCAACUAAGAGCUCAGAUUUUGGAGAUUCACUUGCAGGGUAUAAAGGAGAUUUUCGACCCACUACACCAGGGAACAGUCCUGGUGUUGAUCAUUCUUUUGUAGAAGAUGAUGAAGAUACUGAACAAAAAGCAGGAAGCAUUAGCCCAAGCAAUGAUAAGCAUUCUAUUGCAGACGCUAAAGAAGAUUUCCAACCUACCGACCCAGGACACAGCCCUGCUGCUGGACAUUCUUUAGCAGAAGAUGAUGAAGAUACUGUACAAAAAUCAGGAAGCAUUAGCCCAAGCAAUUAUAAGCAUUCUACUGCAGAAGCUAAGGAAGAUUUCCGACCUACCGACCCAGGACACAGCCCAGGUGCUGGACAUUCUUUAGCAGAAGAUGAUGAAGAUACUGAACAAAAAUCAUUAAGCAUUAGCGUAAGCAACGAUAAGCAUUCUAUUGAAGAAGGUAAGGAAGGUUUCCGACCUACCGACACAGGACACAGCCCUGGUGCUGGACAUUCUUUAGCAGAAGAUGAUGAAGAUACUGAACAAAAAUCAUUAAGCACUAGCCCAAGCAAUGAUAAGCAUUCUACUGAAGAAGGUAAGGAAGGUUUCCGACCUACCAACCCAGGACACAGCCCGGGAGCUGGUCAUGCUUUUCCAAGCAAAAUUUCAGAACCAAAUGCCUAGACAUGUAAAUGCCUCCACAGG
rnacentral:lncRNA from 1 species